GACGAACGCUGGCGGCGUGCCUAAUACAUGCAAGUCGAGCGCAGGAAAUCGACGGAACCCUUCGGGGGGAAGUCGACGGAAUGAGCGGCGGACGGGUGAGUAACACGUAAAGAACCUGCCCUCAGGUCUAGGAUAACCACGAGAAAUCGGGGCUAAUACCGGAUGGGUCAUCGGACCGCAUGGUCCGAGGAUGAAAGGCGCUUCGGCGUCGCCGGGGGAUGGCUUUGCGGUGCAUUAGCUAGUUGGUGGGGUAAUGGCCCACCAAGGCGACGAUGCAUAGCCGACCUGAGAGGGUGAUCGGCCACACUGGGACUGAGACACGGCCCAGACUCCUACGGGAGGCAGCAGUAGGGAAUCUUCCACAAUGGACGAAAGUCUGAUGGAGCAACGCCGCGUGAACGAUGAAGGCCUUCGGGUCGUAAAGUUCUGUUGUAAGGGAAGAACAAGUGCCGCAGGCAAUGGCGGCACCUUGACGGUACCUUGCGAGAAAGCCACGGCUAACUACGUGCCAGCAGCCGCCGUAA
rnacentral:rRNA from 1 species